rnacentral:rRNA from 1 species
GUAACAAGGUCUCCGUAGGUGAACCUGCGGAGGGAUCAUUAC